rnacentral:rRNA from 1 species
UACAGGGGGUGCAAGCGUUAUUCGGAAUUAUUGGGCGUAAAGAGCGCGUAGGCGGUUUGGUAAGUUUGGUGUGAAAGUCCCGGACUCAAUUCGGGAAGUGCAUUGAAUACUGCCAGACUGGAGUACUGGAGAGGUAAGCGGAAUUCCUGGUGUAGAGGUGAAAUUCGUAGAUAUCAGGAGGAACAACAGAAGCGAAGGCGGCUUACUGGACAGUUACUGACGCUGAGGCGCGAAAGCGUGGGGAGCAAACAGG